rnacentral:rRNA from 1 species
GACGAACGCUGGCGGCGCGCUUAACACAUGCAAGUCGAGCGAGAACCAGCCCUUCGGGGCUGGGAAAGCGGCGAACGGGUGAGUAACACGUGGGUAAUCUGCCCUCGGCACCGGAAUAGCCCGGGGAAACCCGGAUUAAUGCCGGAUGGCCUCUCGAGCUCUCGAGCUCGUGAGAAAAGGUAGCUUCGGCCUCCGGCCGAGGAUGAGCCCGCGGUCGAUUAGCUUGUUGGUGAGGUAAUGGCNCACCAAGGCGACGAUCGAUAGCUGGUCUGAGAGGACGAUCAGCCACACUGGGACUGAGACACGGCCCAGACUCCUACGGGAGGCAGCAGUGGGGAAUCUUGCGCAAUGGGCGAAAGCCUGACGCAGCGACGCCGUGUGCGGGAAGAAGGCU